rnacentral:rRNA from 1 species
UGGCUCAGAACGAACGCUGGCGGCAGGCCUAACACAUGCAAGUCGAGCGCCCCGCAAGGGGAGCGGCAGACGGGAGAGUAACACGUGGGAACGUACCCUUCCGUUCGGAACAACCCAGGGAAACUUGGGCUAAUACCGGAUACGUCCGAAAGGAGAAAGAUUUAUCGCCGAGGGGUCGGCCCGCGUCUGAUUAGCUAGUUGGUGGGGUAUCUCCCCACCAAGGCGGCGAACAGUAGCUGGUCUGAGAGGAUGAUCAGCCUCACUGNUUCGAUCCACGGCCCAUGACUUACGGGAGGC